AACGAACGCUGGCGGCAUGCCUAACACAUGCAAGUCGAACGAGACCUUCGGGUCUAUUGGCGCACGGGUGCGUAACGCGUGGGAACCUGCCUUUAGGUUCGGAAUAAUUCCCCGAUAUGGGUGCUAAUACCGGAUAAUGUCUUCUGACCAAAGAUUUAUUGCCUUUGGAUGGGCCCGCGUUGGAUUAGCUAGUUGGUAGGGUAAAGGCCUACCAAGGCGACGAUCCAUAGCUGGUCUGAGAGGAUGAUCAGCCACACUGGGACUGAGACACGGCCCAGACUCCUACGGGAAGAAGCAGUGGGGAAUAUUGGACAAUGGGCGAAAGCCUGAUCCAGCAAUGCCGCGUGAGAGAUGAAGGCCUUAGGGUUGUAAAGCUCUUUUACCCGGGAUGAUAAUGACAGUACCGGGAGAAUAAGCUCCGGCUAACUCCGUG
rnacentral:rRNA from 1 species